rnacentral:rRNA from 1 species
GACGAACGCUGGCGGCGUGCCUAAUACAUGCAAGUAGGACGCAGUUGCGAACGGGUGAGUAACGCGUAGGUAACUACCUAUUAGAGGGGGAGAACUCUUGGAAACGAUAGCUAAUACCGCAUACUAGUUGAUGGACCUGCGUUGUAUUAGCUAGUAGGUCGGGUAAUGGCCUACCUAGGCAACGAUACAUAGCCGACCUGAGAGGGUUAACGGCCACACUGGGACUGGAGCACGGCCCAGACGCCUACGGGAGGCAGCAGUAGGGAAACUUCGGCAAUGGGGGGAACCCUGGCCGAGCAACGCCGGGUGAGUGGAUAAGGUUUUCGGAUCGUAAAGCUCUGUUGUUAAGGAAGCGGUACUUAACCAGAAAGGGAUGGCUAACUACGUGCCAGCAGCCGCGGUAAUAC